rnacentral:lncRNA from 1 species
GACAGUCUAUGGUUCCUUUGACCAAAAGGCUCAUUUCUGUUUCUAUUCCUAAUUGCAUAACAGUUUCUUCCAUGUUAAAGCCUUCUAUUGUGAAGGGAGGCUGCUAAGACUGAGGAAGUAAACAAUUCACUACUCUAAAGAGGUCCCUGAAAUUACCAGAUUAAUAAGCCUUCUCCCUUCACCCAUUACUCCUUAGCACUCCCACUCUUUCUCUAACUUCAUGUAAGCAAUAAAAGCUGCUGAGUAGACGAGAUUCUGCCUGUAAGUUUUGCAGAGAGCUCCAGGAUUGCAGCUUUUCUGUACCAUCACACGUGCUGGGGUGGGCUUUUCAGUAAUGCAGCUGUAUUUGAUUCAACCCGGUUCCAACGACUAACCCCCUCAUCCAUUCUCCUGUAGGUAACACUAAUAAAAUAAUUGGUGGAAGGGAGGGAGAAGGGAACUGGGAUUGUCAUGUGAUUCAAUCUUGUUUGUAAUUGAAAUAAAAAAUGAUAAUAAUAAUAAUGAAAAUCUAUUUGGUUUGCCAUCUUGGACUAGGGUAAUAUCAUCACUUUGGUCUGUAGUAGGAUCCCUAUCUGAGAUAAGUAGCUUUUUGCUUUGUGUCUUCCCAGAAAAAGCCUCACAUAAUGCAACUAGGUGUUUUGGACCCUGGGAGACCAUGAUGGCCUAGAAAAUAGGCUUCUCUGAAGCAGCUGGGUUACAUGACAACUUUUCUUCAUUUUUGAGUAAGUAUCAAAUUUCAAAUAGCAGGCAGAAAGAGUUAGCAUUUCUAUGUGCUUAUCACAGCUGGCAGCAUUUGGGUCCAAUUUGCUUACAGCAGGGAGAGACAUUUGGUUGGGGGAGAUUUUUUUUAAUGGAAAGAAGAAAAGACCAUGAACAAGGAAGCCUAUUGUUCCCAGCAAUAUGGUCUUCCUGGUGGCCUUGUCUCUGAUGACUCUUCCUGCCUGUAGCACCAGCUGAGAAAAUGCUUCAAGUGGGCAGAAGUGGGCACCAUGUGUAGUCAGAGAAGACAGUGUAACUUUGUCAAGCUGAAAACAUGCAGCAGACUUCAUUUGCUAUCAAGUGAUGGAGAGGCUAGCCUGCUCCGUAAAUAACAGCAGAAAUGAAUAAGGAAAGCGUGUUGAUUUUCAAG